UGUUUGCUUUUUCUUUCUCAACAAUGACAAACUUCCUGUAGUGAAAGCGGAGUGCAGACUGUACACCUCUUUAGUAGUAGGCAAUAGUCUCCACUGUGUGGAUGCUAGGUUGGAAAUCAAUUCCAAGUUUGUGUGAGUCUGUCUUAUACUGAACAAGUUUAGCAAACCUUUUAUCUUUUAUUUUUCUAGUGUGCAUUUGAUUCUAAUAUACAUUUAAGAUAAAAUAAUCAUCAGUUUUGUAAUUAAACAACAGCAGUGAUGAUUGUGACAUAAUUGUCUACAACCGAUUCCCACAAAGUUUAAAUGAAAAUCAUAUCCAAGGGCAAAAAUGCAUGACAACGGAGAAGACAUGAGACUUUACUGGGCCAGACAACUGAGCCACAAAAUAUGUUUUCAGUAUGCCUGGAUGCUUAGCAAGCUAUGGUGUUCAGUCCUCAUGGUGGUUGUCAUCUUCAGUGCUUUCCUUACAUGUGGUCUCAUUGCA
rnacentral:lncRNA from 1 species